rnacentral:rRNA from 1 species
AUUGAACGCUGGCGGAAUGCUUUACACAUGCAAGUCGAGCGGCAGCACGGGGGCAACCCUGGUGGCGAGCGGCGAACGGGUGAGUAAUACAUCGGAACAUGCCCAGUCGUGGGGGAUAACACCUCGAAAGAAGUGCUAAUACCGCAUACGUCCUGAGGGAGAAAGCGGGGGAUCUUCGGACCUCGCGCGAUUGGAGUGGCCGAUGUCAGAUUAGCUAGUUGGUGGGGUAAAGGCCUACCAAGGCAACGAUCUGUAGCUGGUCUGAGAGGAUGAUCGGCCACACUGGGACUGAGACACGGCCCAGACACCUACGGGAGGGAGCAGUGGGGAAUUUUGGACAAUGGGGGCAACCCUGAUCCAGCCAUGCCGCGUGAGUGAAGAAGGCCUUAGGGUUGUAAAGCUCUUUCGCGAGGGAAGAAAGCGCACUGGUUAAUACCUGGUGUGGAUGACGGUACCUUGAUAAGAAGCACCGGCUAACUACGUGCCAGCCGCCGCCGUAACAC